rnacentral:lncRNA from 1 species
CUCCUCCUCUCAUCUCCCUGCCAAGACCUCAAAUAAAAUCGUUUCCUCCUGAAAAUGCCCAUCUCGGAACCUUGGCUGUGCCCCGAGGGAGGCACCGGAAUGGCAAAAGUGAGGACAUACGGCUGCCAGCAUCGUCUAUGCUCUAGAUAGGGGUCAAAUGUCAACUUUCUGCCAGGUCCAGCCCGGAUGUGAGGGCUGUGAAGGCAACAACCAAGGAACCAUUCCUUCGGAUGGAAGUCCUAUGGCAGAGAGAAGCUGAUGUUUGAAUUUUCCUGUAGAGCCCUUGAGGUUCCAUGAAUCAGUCUGGGAAGGAUGCAGGUUAAGUGGGAAGCAGAAGCCCUCAAUCACGUGAUGACGGAAAAGCCGAAAAGGCUGGGUUAUACCCUUAGGAAACCUAUUUGUUUCUUGGCUCCCUGCAGGGGCAUGCACACUAGCAAAGGCUCAAUCCCUUCAUUAUUCAUUUGAUCACAAAAGAAGGAAUGAGAGGAAAAAUACUUUUAUUUUUCACCAAGCAAUCACCAAGCGCAGGUAGGAGUUGGGUGUUUCUCUUUCCUAUCUUGAUGAAUAGCUGGGGCUUGGGGGGGCUUGUUUUGUUUUUCUUGGCUUUUGUGUAUAUCCGUUUCUUGUUGGUGGGCUUGGCUUUUUGUUGUUUUGAUGAUGUUUUGGGUUUUUUCUUUCUUUCUUUCUUUCUUAUUUUUUUUUUUCAGCAGGUGCUAGUCACAAAAAACAGCUAGGAUGAAAGAAUGUACUUUUUGGUAAAAAGGCUUCCAGGGUUGCAGAAAGACUGGAUACAAAGACUUAGAUGGGCGCUUAGGCUCGAUAGUCCAGUCCUCUUCUAGGCGAGCUGAGUUUGGUUUCCAAGGGACACAUCUGCCUGUAACUCCAGCUCGGGAGGUGGGGGCGGUGGGGGGGGGGGGAAUCCAAUGUUCUCUUCCGGUCUCUUAGGGUACUGCACCCAUGUACACACACACACACAAACACACACAUACUUAAAAAUAAAAAUAAAAGAAUUAUUUUUAAACAACCCAACAGGUUGAUAGGGCUGGAGAUAUGGCUCAUUGGCUGCUCUUCCAGAGGACUGAGGUUUAAUUCCAACAUCUAUAUGAUAGCUCAUAAUCUCCUGUAACUCCAUCUCCAGGAUACCUAAUACCUCCUUCUAACCUCUGUGGGCACUUGCACUCUCAUGCACAUACAAGCAUAUGUAAUUGAAAAUAAAAUAAAAUAAAGCAAUAGUAUCAUAGAUAA